UCCCCCCUCAAACCUCGUGUUUGGUGUUGGACCCACGUUGGUCGUACCCCGACCAACUGGUCUCGAAGACAAUGACGGCGUCCGUGGGACCCUCGAUACACCGAGCUUUCUUGCGAAGCACGUACCGAGUUGAAAGGUCCCGCCGGCCCGGUCUCCCUCUAGAAUCUUUCUUGAAA
rnacentral:misc_RNA from 1 species